rnacentral:rRNA from 1 species
CGCUUCUUGUACUCCCCCAAAUAAGAGGUCCUGCCUGCCCUGUGACUAUUUGUUUAACGGCCGCGGUAUUUUAACCGUGCGAAGGUAGCGCAAUCACUUGUCUUUUAAAUAAAGACCCGUAUGAAUGGCAUAACGAGGGCUUAGCUGUCUCCUCUUUCAAGUCAAUGAAACUGAUCUUUCCGUGCAGAAGCGGGAAUUUAAACAUAAGACGAGAAGACCCUAUGGAGCUUUAGGCACUAUGACAGCUUAUAUUAAACACCCUCAAAUAAAGAAAAGAGACAAAAUAAAGCCCUGCCCUAAUGCCUUUGGUUGGGGCGACCGCGGGAAAUUAAAUAACUCCCUUGUGGAACGGGAAAACUCCUCCUAUAACUAAGAGUUACAACUCUAAAAACCAAAAAUUCUGACCAAUAAGAUCCGGCAAUGCCGAUCAACGGAUCCAGUUACCCUAGGGAUAACAGCGCAAUCCUCUUUUAGAGCUCAUAUCGACAAGGGGGUUUACGACCUCGAUGUUGGAUCAGGACAUCCUAAUGGUGUAGUCGCUAUUAAGGGUUCGUUUGUUCAACGAUUAAAGUCCU